CCUACGGGCGGCAGCAGUGAGGAAUAUUGGUCAAUGGGCGGGAGCCUGAACCAGCCAAGCCGCGUGAAGGAAGAAGGCGCCAGGCGUCGUAAACUUCUUUUGUCAAGGGACAAAAUCAGGCUCGAGAGCCUGACCGAGGGUACUUGAAGAAAAAGCAUCGGCUAACUCCGUGCCAGCAGCCGCGGUAAUACGGAGGAUGCGAGCGUUAUCCGGAUUUAUUGGGUUUAAAGGGUGCGUAGGCGGGCUGUUAAGUCAGCGGUAAAAGCCCGGGGCUCAACCCCGGCGAGCCGUUGAAACUGGCUGUCUUGAGAUGUCGAGAGGUAUGCGGAAUGCGCAGUGUAGCGGUGAAAUGCUUAGAUAGUGCGCAGAACUCCGAUUGCGAAGGCAGCAUACCGGCGGCGAUCUGACGCUGAGGCACGAAAGCGUGGGUAUCGAACAGGAUUAGAUACCCGAGUAGUC
rnacentral:rRNA from 1 species